rnacentral:rRNA from 1 species
GAUGAACGCUAGCGGCGGGCCUAACACAUGCAAGUCGAGCGGGAUCCACCUUCGGGUGGUGAGAGCGGCGCACGGGUGCGUAACACGUAUGUAACCUACCUUAAUCAGGGGGAUAGCCUCUCGAAAGAGAGAUUAACACCGCAUAAAAUCACACUAUGGCAUCAUAGAAUGAGCAAAUAUUUAUAGGAUUAAGAUGGGCAUGCGGAACAUUAGCUAGUUGGUAAGGUAACGGCUUACCAAGGCUACGAUGUUUAGGGGAUCUGAGAGGAUGGCCCCCCACACUGGAACUGGGACACGGACCAGACGCCGACGGGAGGAAGCAGUAAGGAAUAUUGGUCAAUGGGCGGAAGCCUGAACCAGCCAUGCCGCGUGCAGGAAGACGGCCCUACGGGUUGUAAACUGCUUUUGUACCGGAAUAAACCUUUCUACGUGUAGGAAGCUGAAUGUACGGUAAGAAUAAGGAUCGGCCAACUCCGUGCCAGCAGCCGCCGUAA